rnacentral:SRP_RNA from 1 species
GCUGGGCACGGUGGCGUGUGUUUGUAGUUCCAGCUACUCGGGAGGCUGAGGUGGGAGGAUCGCUUGAGCCCAGGAGUUCUGGGGUGUAGUGCACUAUGCCUAGCAGGUGUCUGCACUAAGUUUGGCAUCAAUAUGUUGACCUCCCAGGAGCGGAGGACCACCAGGUUGCCUAAGGAGGGGUGAACCGGCCCAGGUCAAAAAUGGAGCAGGUCAAAACUCCCGUGCUGAUAAGUAGUGGGAUUGCGCUUGUGAAUAGCCACUGCACUCCAGCCUGGGCAACAUAGCAAGACCNNNNNNNN